rnacentral:rRNA from 1 species
AGUGAACGCUGGCGGCAUGCCUAACACAUGCAAGUCGAACGGUAACAGGCCCGCAAGGGUGCUGACGAGUGGCGGACGGGUGAGGAAUACAUCGGAAUUUGCCCAGUCGUGGGGGAUAACGUAGGGAAACUUACGCUAAUACCGCAUACGACCUAACGGUGAAAGCGGGGGACCGUGCAAGGGCCUCGCGCGGAUGGAUAAGCCGAUGUCGGAUUAGCUAGUUGGCGGGGUAAGAACCCACCAAGGCGACGAUCCGUAGCUGGUCUGAGAGGAUGAUCAGCCACACUGGGACUGAGACACGGCCCAGACUCCUACCGGGAGGCAG